GGGUUGUGAGGUUAAGCGACUAAGCGUACACGGUGGAUGCCCUGGCAGUCAGAGGCGAUGAAGGACGUGCUAAUCUGCGAUAAGCGUCGGUGAGGUGAUAUGAACCGUUAUAACCGGCGAUUUCCGAAUGGGGAAACCCAGUGUGUUUCGACACACUAUCAUUAACUGAAUCCAUAGGUUAAUGAGGCGAACCGGGGGAACUGAAACAUCUAAGUACCCCGAGGAAAAGAAAUCAACCGAGAUUCCCCCAGUAGCGGCGAGCGAACGGGGAGGAGCCCAGAGCCUGAAUCAGUGUGUGUGUUAGUGGAAGCGUCUGGAAAGGCGCGCGAUACAGGGUGACAGCCCCGUACACAAAAAUGCACAUAUUGUGAGCUCGAUGAGUAGGGCGGGACACGUGGUAUCCUGUCUGAAUAUGGGGGGACCAUCCUCCAAGGCUAAAUACUCCUGACUGACCGAUAGUGAACCAGUACCGUGAGGGAAAGGCGAAAAGAACCCCGGCGAGGGGAGUGAAAAAGAACCUGAAACCGUGUACGUACAAGCAGUGGGAGCCUCUUAAUGGGGUGACUGCGUACCUUUUGUAUAAUGGGUCAGCGACUUAUAUUCUGUAGCAAGGUUAACCGAAUAGGGGAGCCGAAGGGAAACCGAGUCUUAACUGGGCGUUAAGUUGCAGGGUAUAGACCCGAAACCCGGUGAUCUAGCCAUGGGCAGGUUGAAGGUUGGGUAACACUAACUGGAGGACCGAACCGACUAAUGUUGAAAAAUUAGCGGAUGACUUGUGGCUGGGGGUGAAAGGCCAAUCAAACCGGGAGAUAGCUGGUUCUCCCCGAAAGCUAUUUAGGUAGCGCCUCGUGAAUUCAUCUCCGGGGGUAGAGCACUGUUUCGGCAAGGGGGUCAUCCCGACUUACCAACCCGAUGCAAACUGCGAAUACCGGAGAAUGUUAUCACGGGAGACACACGGCGGGUGCUAACGUCCGUCGUGAAGAGGGAAACAACCCAGACCGCCAGCUAAGGUCCCAAAGUCAUGGUUAAGUGGGAAACGAUGUGGGAAGGCCCAGACAGCCAGGAUGUUGGCUUAGAAGCAGCCAUCAUUUAAAGAAAGCGUAAUAGCUCACUGGUCGAGUCGGCCUGCGCGGAAGAUGUAACGGGGCUAAACCAUGCACCGAAGCUGCGGCAGCGACACUGUGUGUUGUUGGGUAGGGGAGCGUUCUGUAAGCCUGUGAAGGUGGCCUGUGAGGGUUGCUGGAGGUAUCAGAAGUGCGAAUGCUGACAUAAGUAACGAUAAAGCGGGUGAAAAGCCCGCUCGCCGGAAGACCAAGGGUUCCUGUCCAACGUUAAUCGGGGCAGGGUGAGUCGACCCCUAAGGCGAGGCCGAAAGGCGUAGUCGAUGGGAAACAGGUUAAUAUUCCUGUACUUGGUGUUACUGCGAAGGGGGGACGGAGAAGGCUAUGUUGGCCGGGCGACGGUUGUCCCGGUUUAAGCGUGUAGGCUGGUUUUCCAGGCAAAUCCGGAAAACCAAGGCUGAGGCGUGAUGACGAGGCACUACGGUGCUGAAGCGACAAAUGCCCUGCUUCCAGGAAAAGCCUCUAAGCAUCAGGUAACAUCAAAUCGUACCCCAAACCGACACAGGUGGUCAGGUAGAGAAUACCAAGGCGCUUGAGAGAACUCGGGUGAAGGAACUAGGCAAAAUGGUGCCGUAACUUCGGGAGAAGGCACGCUGAUAUGUAGGUGAAGCGACUUGCUCGUGGAGCUGAAAUCAGUCGAAGAUACCAGCUGGCUGCAACUGUUUAUUAAAAACACAGCACUGUGCAAACACGAAAGUGGACGUAUACGGUGUGACGCCUGCCCGGUGCCGGAAGGUUAAUUGAUGGGGUUAGCGGUAACGCGAAGCUCUUGAUCGAAGCCCCGGUAAACGGCGGCCGUAACUAUAACGGUCCUAAGGUAGCGAAAUUCCUUGUCGGGUAAGUUCCGACCUGCACGAAUGGCGUAAUGAUGGCCAGGCUGUCUCCACCCGAGACUCAGUGAAAUUGAACUCGCUGUGAAGAUGCAGUGUACCCGCGGCAAGACGGAAAGACCCCGUGAACCUUUACUAUAGCUUGACACUGAACAUUGAGCCUUGAUGUGUAGGAUAGGUGGGAGGCUUUGAAGUGUGGACGCCAGUCUGCAUGGAGCCGACCUUGAAAUACCACCCUUUAAUGUUUGAUGUUCUAACGUGGGCCCCUAAUCGGGGUUGCGGACAGUGUCUGGUGGGUAGUUUGACUGGGGCGGUCUCCUCCUAAAGAGUAACGGAGGAGCACGAAGGUUGGCUAAUCCUGGUCGGACAUCAGGAGGUUAGUGCAAUGGCAUAAGCCAGCUUGACUGCGAGCGUGACGGCGCGAGCAGGUGCGAAAGCAGGUCAUAGUGAUCCGGUGGUUCUGAAUGGAAGGGCCAUCGCUCAACGGAUAAAAGGUACUCCGGGGAUAACAGGCUGAUACCGCCCAAGAGUUCAUAUCGACGGCGGUGUUUGGCACCUCGAUGUCGGCUCAUCACAUCCUGGGGCUGAAGUAGGUCCCAAGGGUAUGGCUGUUCGCCAUUUAAAGUGGUACGCGAGCUGGGUUUAGAACGUCGUGAGACAGUUCGGUCCCUAUCUGCCGUGGGCGCUGGAGAACUGAGGGGGGCUGCUCCUAGUACGAGAGGACCGGAGUGGACGCAUCACUGGUGUUCGGGUUGUCAUGCCAAUGGCACUGCCCGGUAGCUAAAUGCGGAAGAGAUAAGUGCUGAAAGCAUCUAAGCACGAAACUUGCCCCGAGAUGAGUUCUCCCUGAGACUUAGAGUCUCCUGAAGGAACGUUGAAGACGACGACGUUGAUAGGCCGGGUGUGUAAGCGCAGCGAUGCGUUGAGCUAACCGGUACUAAUGAACCGUGAGGCUUAACCUUACAACGCCGAAG
rnacentral:rRNA from 1 species